GCUUGCUUCACAAGUGCACAUACUAAUAUUGGAACGAUACAGAGAAGAUUGGCAUGUCCCCUUCACAAGGAUAACAAACAUACUUGUGAAGUGUUCCAUAUUUAG